CAGAGUUGAAAAACUCCCAAACCCUUUGUGAAUCUACCUAUCGUUGCUUCGGCAGGCGGCCCCAGGGCGGGGCUGUAGCCUCUUAGAGGUGCCUGCCGGAGGUAUGAUACUCUAUAUCUAUUGUAUACUCUGAGCAGACAUAAAAUAAGUCA
rnacentral:misc_RNA from 1 species